GCGUUCUCAAAAAUUCCGGAUAAAAUGUCAAUGAAUCCGGAGUCAAAACAUUUAAUGUAGGCCGUUUGACAUUCGAAUUCAACUAUUAGAUUAAGAUAUGUGAUGAUGCAAAUGCGUAUUCUUUUCCUGAGUAUCAGUGAGAUGCUUUCUAUUUACUAUUUCGUGCGCUAAGAUACUACUUGCAUGCAAUACUAUUAAAUUCACUCGUGAAAGCUUAUUUUCGUUUUUGUUAUCUAAAUUCAGGACACGACAGAAAGAGCUUCACAUGUGACUUUCAAGCACGGUCAUCAUUUCUAACGGUAUUCUGACCUCGAGUUGUUUCUCUUUUGUUUCUUUUUUGAGUCACUGUCCUAU
rnacentral:lncRNA from 1 species